GAGGUUGUGCCCUUGAGGCGUGGCUUCCGGAGCUAACGCGUUAAGUCGACCGCCUGGGGAGUACGGCCGCAAGGUUAAAACUCAAAUGAAUUGACGGGGGCCCGCACAAGCGGUGGAGCAUGUGGUUUAAUUCGAUGCAACGCGAAGAACCUUACCUGGUCUUGACAUCCACGGAAGUUUUCAGAGAUGAGAAUGUGCCUUCGGGAACCGUGAGACAGGUGCUGCAUGGCUGUCGUCAGCUCGUGUUGUGAAAUGUUGGGUUAAGUCCCGCAACGAGCGCAACCCUUAUCCUUUGUUGCCAGCGGUCCGGCCGGGAACUCAAAGGAGACUGCCAGUGAUAAACUGGAGGAAGGUGGGGAUGACGUCAAGUCAUCAUGGCCCUUACGACCAGGGCUACACACGUGCUACAAUGGCGCAUACAAAGAGAAGCGACCUCGCGAGAGCAAGCGGACCUCAUAAAGUGCGUCGUAGUCCGGAUUGGAGUCUGCAACUCGACUCCAUGAAGUCGGAAUCGCUAGUAAUCGUGGAUCAGAAUGCCACGGUGAAUACGUUCCCGGGCCUUGUACACACCGCCCGUCACACCAUGGGAGUGGGUUGCAAAAGAAGUAGGUAGCUUAACCUUCGGGAGGGCGCUUACCACUUUGUGAUUCAUGACUGGGGUGAAGUCGUAACAAGGUAACCGUAGGGGAACCUGCGGUUGGA
rnacentral:rRNA from 1 species